UAAACCUCCAACUAUAGUUUAUUCUGUAGUUGGCUUUGGGUGUUGCCAGCGAUGGCUCGCCUUAAAUGUCUAAGUGGAAUGCAUAAUAAGUUCUUGCAACCCUCCACUCUAACACACUUUAUA
rnacentral:misc_RNA from 1 species